UAAAAUUAGGUUAGGUUAGUAAUACUGUAAAUAAGAUGAUAGUGAAUUAAUAUAUAUUUGCAAUUUUCCUUUAGUAUAUAACGUUAUUCAUUAAUUUUUAUUAAUUUUUAAUGUAAAAUUAAUAUAACAUCAGAUAUAUUUUGUCAGAAUUAAUAAAUAUUUAUAACAAAUAUUUUCUGAUUUAACGAUGUAGUCAUAGAGUGAAUAACCUUUAGAGGUUUGCGAAAGCUUGUAGAUUUUAGUAGAGCGAUUCGCGAACCGAAAAUACUAUGACUCGAAAUUUUCAGGCUGUGCUAAUUCCGAGCUCUAUAUAAAUUUGCGCGAAUAGUGUUGCGCAAAAAUCAUGGCACUCAUUCGUUUCCACCAGUUUUAUAUUUUUUCUUUUAUUUUCUUGAAUAAUUAAACAAAACAAUUUAAAAUCUUUUAUAUUACAAUUAUUCAGUAAAAAAUAUUAGAUAAAAUUGUUGAAUCAGUAUGUAUCACUACGCGAAUAAAUUCAUAACCUCAAAUUUAAAGGAUAAUAUAAUGAAGAAGAAAAAUAACACAAUUUAUAUUUUUAAUUACUAUAUAUUGUUUUAAAAACAAUUUAAAAAUAUGAUGAUAAUUUAUAUUGACGGUAGUACAAAUACAUUCUUGUUAUCUUUUAAAAAUACAAUCAUGUUAGUGUAUACUAGGUAUAAUACAUUUACAUAGGUAUAUUAUGGUAGGUGGCCUAAAGGCGCCUUUUCAUCUCCAAUUUCUGUUCCAACUUCAUAUUCUAUAGCCUAGAUUUUCUAUUUAAUAGUUUAUAAUAAUUAGUAUCUAACCUAUAAUUAGUUACUCGGUUUUGGAUGUUAAAAAUUUAAACUAAAAUAUUAGACACAUGUUAAAUUAUUAGUUAUACAUUAAAUUUUAUACACGUAAUAAGAUUAAGUUUGGAAAUUGGAAAAAAGUUGAAAUAAAAAUUCUACUUAAUACUCCUCUCAGUGAUACGUAAAAAAAUUACAUGUGUGUUUAAAAAAUAAAUAAAUCAAAGUUAAAUUUAAUAUAAAAAAAGAAAACAAAAUUUAGACGAAAGUAGAAUGGUUAAUAAUAGAAUAACAGAGUAAACAGAUAUUUACAUUUAAUAUAUAUAUAUAUUGUAUAUUGCUAUAUCAUCAUCAUCAUUACGCUCAUGGUUAACCUGGAGACUUGGACCCUAAUUUGGCUUGAGCGGACAAUCUGGGUUAACUUCAAAAUUUUGCAUUCCCAGACGUAUUGGACUCAAUUGCAGAAUUAGAUCGAUCAUGUCAGGAAUCUGAUUUUACUUUGAUUUUUCUUGAGGAUUCUUCCUGGAAAUAUAUUU